GAAGAAUCUGGAGGAAGAGAAAGAAGAGGAGGACGAGGAGGAGGAAAUCUUACCAAAUUUGUCCAGAUUGGCAGUUAGAAGUAGGCACAGCUUUGAGUUUUUACCAUGUGGCAGAUAGUAAUGUAAGCCCUUGAGAAGAGGCAAGUCAUGGAAUCCUGGGUGAUAGCUCUGAGAAGCAGACGCCGUGUUACCAAACCCAUGUUACAGUGCUGAAGAUUUUAUGGCCACAUGGAGAUACUGUGAGAGGAUAAAGACAGCCCAGCGCUUGGCACCUGGGGUGGAGUCAGUCAAGUGCAGUCUCAUUGUGUCUAGUAGGCCACUUGGGGCACAAUCUUUCAUGACGAUGACAAGCACUCAAGAUGGGAGACCAGUGAGGGGACGCUACCCCUUUCACCUCACGAGUCAGCCACGGCAAGUCACACGAGGUGACACAGCAAGAAAAGUGAGCAAGAAGACACGGGUAUGUGAGUAAGCAGGACGCCAGGAGAUGGACAAUAAUCGGCUGAGCAGGAAUAAACAGGAGCAGGUCAUAACCUCAGACGUUUUGUCAUGGUGAUGGAAACUGACUAAUACAACCCUCUACUGGGACACUAGGUUGAAGAGAGUAUUAUCAAGAUUCCUCCCUGGCCAACAGCCUGAAAGAUAAGACAAUCAGAA